rnacentral:snoRNA from 1 species
UGGAUUGAUGAUGACCACGGGUGGCAUAUGAGCCAUGACACUGAAUGCAUGCCUGGAACUCUGAGGUCCAU